UGGGGAAUAUUGCACAAUGGGCGCAAGCCUGAUGCAGCCAUGCCGCGUGUGUGAAGAAGGCCUUCGGGUUGUAAAGCACUUUCAGCGGGGAGGAAGGCGGUGAGGUUAAUAACCUCAUCGAUUGACGUUACCCGCAGAAGAAGCACCGGCUAACUCCGUGCCAGCAGCCGCGGUAAUACGGAGGGUGCAAGCGUUAAUCGGAAUUACUGGGCGUAAAGCGCACGCAGGCGGUCUGUCAAGUCGGAUGUGAAAUCCCCGGGCUCAACCUGGGAACUGCAUUCGAAACUGGCAGGCUAGAGUCUUGUAGAGGGGGGUAGAAUUCCAGGUGUAGCGGUGAAAUGCGUAGAGAUCUGGAGGAAUACCGGUGGCGAAGGCGGCCCCCUGGACAAAGCCUGACGCUCAGGUGCGAAAGCGUGGGGAGCAAACAGG
rnacentral:rRNA from 1 species